UGCUUCGUUGUGCGUGUAUACCUCAUCUCUACUUCUAGUUCUAAUAUCAAGCGAAAUGCCCCGACGCCUCGACUCAUGCCCAUGUGAACGGAUCACGCCGCCGAACCUCUGUUUUCAUUCUUCUAUUAUGUAAGAUACUCGUAAUAACACUCUUAUCACUUGAUUAGCUUUAAUUAAAUGCACAAAAAAUAUUAAGCAAAUUGUCAAGGCGUUAGGACUCACGUUUUUGAAUAAACCGGCGGACCGUACUCUGGUCCCACGUAACAUUUAAUGCC
rnacentral:lncRNA from 1 species